rnacentral:rRNA from 1 species
AUGAGGCAGUUGAGGUUCAAGAGGAUCUGCGUCUUCUGCGGCAGUAGCCAAGGCAAGAAGAGGAGCUACCAUGACGCCGCCAUUGAGCUCGGCAACGAGCUGGUUGCGAGGGGCGUGGACCUGGUGUACGGCGGGGGAAGCAUCGGGCUCAUGGGCAUGGUGUCCCAGGCGGUGCACGACGGCGGCAGGCACGUCAUAGGUGUCAUUCCCAAGACCCUCAUGACCCCAGAGGUAUGUCCGCUACUCAUGCAUGUCUACAACUACUAG